rnacentral:lncRNA from 1 species
CUCGCUUGUGGGCAUGCUGGUAGGAUAUGGCAGCAUUUUUGGUUGUGCUUCAAGAAUUCUGCAUACAGUAGCACGUUGGUAUGAAGGUGUGGUUAUUCACAGGCAAAUUGUUAUAUGCUAUGGAGGUACAUUUGUCUCUUUUUGUCCAGAGCAAAACCUUUUUUAUUUUCAAUCGACACAAAGGAAGUCAAAGCGGACACCUACGAAGAUGGCAUCUCAGCGAGCUGAUCAAGGGGUUGAAAAUGUAGAUAUUGCCAGAUGUUCACUGUCCGAGGAACAGGCCACGGAAGCUUUAUUGCUGGCAAAAGUGUCCUUAACCAGAGGUUAUAUCAGCUGUUUUGGUGAACCCCUCCCGCAUGUGAACUGGCUGACACAGAGGGCACGAUCAUAGGUGUAAUGUCACUUGGUCGGGUCACCAGGAAGUAUUAUUAAGAGAUGCUUUACACUGAAAUACAGACAGAUGUAGUAGUCCCAGAGUAAAUGAUCCAAGGUGACUAAAAUUAUGUCAAUUAGCCUAUCAGAAGUUUCUAAAUCCAUGACAUAAUUUUCUGGAUAUUUCCAAACUGUUUAAAGGC